ACGUAAUAGAUACCCUGGUAGUCCACGCCCUAAACGAUGUCAACUAGUUGUCGGGUCUUAACGGGACUUGUAAACGCAGCUAAACGCGUGAAAGUUGACCGCCUGGGGGAGUACGGUCGCAAGAUUAAAACUCAAAGGAAAUUGAACGGGGACCCGCACAAGCGGUGGAUUAUGUGGAUUAAUUCGAUGCAACGCGAAAAAACCUUACCUACCCUUGACAUGUGCCGAAGCCCGGCUGAGAGGUGGGGUGUGCCCGAAAGGGAGCGGCAACACAGGUGCUGCAUGGCUGUCGUCAGCUCGUGUCGUGAGAUG
rnacentral:rRNA from 1 species